GUUUUCGGUGGAUUAUCCAAAUGAUAACAUCGUGGCCGUUGGUGGAAGCUACGAUCAUAUUUUCACAUAUGAUACAACGCUUAUCACAUCGCUAUACUUCACAACCUCCAGGGGUUUUACCUCUCCAUUAUUCGGUGAGAAGACAGGAACAGAUUUCGAGUUCCAAGGUGAAAAUAAAGGAAAGCUUCUCGGGUUCCAUGGACGUGCUGGGCAUGCUAUUGAUGCCAUCGGAGCUUACUUCCACACUGGUUCACAAGGUGGCCAGGGAGCUGGUUCACAAGGUGGCCAGGGAGCUGGUUCACAAGGUGGCCAGGGAGGUGACCCCGGAAAAGGUGGUCCUAGACCUGUUGUCCCCGGAAAGAUGGGACCCUUAGGUGGUGCCAAGGGAAAUGAAUUCGAUGAUGUUGGUUUUGAUGGUGUGAAGAAAGUAACUGUGGGAGCAGAUGAAUUCAGUGUAACUUAUCUCAAGAUCGAAUACAUAAAGGACGGAAAAGUUGAGAUACGUGAACACGGGACUAAUCGCGGGCAACUAAAAGAGGUAUAAAACAUUGUGAUUAUUUUUUUUACGAUAAUAUUCAUUGGGUUUGCUAAUAAAUUGUUUGAUUUUUAUGGAAAAUAAAAUACAGUUCUCGGUGGAUUAUCCAAAUGAUAACAUCGUGGCCGUUGGUGGAAGCUACAAUCAUAUUUUCACAUAUGAUACAACGCUUAUCACAUCGCUAUACUUCACAACCUCCAGGGGUUUUACCUCUCCAUUAUUCGGUGAGAAGAAGGGAACAGAUUUCGAGUUCCAAGGUGAAAAUAGAGGAAAGCUUCUCGGGUUCCAUGGACGUGCUGGCUAUGCUAUUGAUGCCAUCGGAGCUUACUUCCACACCGGUUCACAAGGCGGUGAGGGAGGUGGUCCUAAACCUGUAGUACCCGUAAAGAUGGGACCCCUAGGUGGUGACAGGGGAAACGAAUUCAACGAUGUUGGUUUCGAUGGUGUGAAGAAAGUAGCUGUGGCAGCUGAUGAAUUCAGUGUAAGAUCGAGUACGUAAAGGAUGGAAAAGUUGAAAUCCGUGAGCACGGGACAAGUCGAGGGCAAGUAAAAGAGGUAUUAAUUAAAUAUUUUGGUGACUUCUGUUAAAUAUUGAAUAUUUUUUGCUACAUAUUUAUUUGUUUCUAAUGAAAAACUUACAUACAGUUUUCGGUGGAUCAUCCAAAUGAUAACUUCACGGCCGUUGGUGGAAGCUACGAUCAUAUUUUCACAUAUGAUACAACACUUAUCACAUCAUUAUACCUCACAACCUCAAGAGGAUUUACCUCUCCUUUAUUCGGUGAGAUGAAGGGAACAGAAUUCGAGUUCAAAGGUGAAAAUGGAGAAAAGCUUAUUGGAUUCCAUGGACGUGCUGGUCAUGCUAUUGAUGCUAUUGGGGCCUACUUCGACACUGGUUCUAAACCGGGCUUUCGGUGGAUUAUCCAAAUGAUAACAUCGUGGCCGUUGGUGGAAGCUACGAUCAUAUUUUCACAUAUGAUACAACGCUUAUCAAAUCGCUAUACUUCACAACCUCCAGGGGGUUUACCUCUCCAUUAUUCGGUGAGAAGACAGGAACAGAUUUCGAGUUCCAAGGUGAAAAUAGAGGAAAGCUUCUCGGGUUCCAUGGACGUGCUGGCUAUGCUAUUGAUGCCAUUGGAGCUUACUUCCACACCGGUUCACAAGGCGGUGAGGGAGGUGACCCCAGCAAAGGUGGUCCUAAACCUGUAGUACCCGUAAAGAUGGGACCCCUAGGUGGUGACAGGGGAAACGAAUUCAACGAUGUUGGUUUCGAUGGUGUGAAGAGAGUAGCUGUGGCAGCUGAUGAAUUCAGUGUAACCUAC
rnacentral:lncRNA from 1 species